UUAUUUUUAGAGACAGGGCUCCCUGUGUUGCCCAGGCUGGUCUCAAACUUCUGGGCUCGAGCACGCCUCCUGCCUCAGCCUCCCGAAGUGUUGGGAUUGCAGGCCUUAGCCACUGUGUCUGGCCUGUAUUCUCUUUUGAUGGAAAUAGGAACCCAUUCUUUAUCACUCCUUUUACAAAUGCCAGCCAGAUACAGUGGCUCACACCUGUAUUCUCAGCACUUUAGGGGGCUAAAGUGGGUGGAUUGCUUGAGCCCAGGAAUUUGAGACCAGACUGGCAACAUGAUGAAACCCCAUCUCUACAAAAAAUACAAAAACUCAAUGCUCAAUGUUCAUUUCCUCUCUGUCAGGGUGCUCAUUGGUUUAUGCUAAAUUUUAAGGAAGUUGUAAACUUGGAGCUAAACUCGGUUGCCUAAUCUAGUCUCUCAAUUUCUAGAAAUUAGUACUAAAAUUAUCCAGGUGUGGUGGUAUGUGUGUGUAGUCCCUGCUACUCAGGAGGCUGAGGCAGGAGGAUAGCUUGAGCCUAGGAGGUUUAGGCUACGGCGAGCCGUGAUCAUGUCACUGCGUCUCAGCCUGGGCAACAGAAUGAGACUCUGUCUCCAAAGAGACAGACAAAAAUGACUCUAGUAGUGUUCUAAUAGCUAACUCCAAUGCUCCCUUUAUACAAUAAACACAGUGGUCAUUUGAGUGUUAACAAAUGGAUCCUGGGUCUUUGCAGGUACUUAAGGCCAAGUUCAGAGUGUCAGAGUUUAUAUAUCUGGAGUUCAUCUGAUUCUGCAUAACAGCAUUCUAAGCUCAGACACUCCAAGAAGGAGACCGACCUGGUCUGGAAUUUUUCUGAGGAGAUGUAAAUGUUUAGAGAAUUGAUACCUUUCCUGGAAAUGAAAUACUCUUUUAAGUUUUUAGGUAUAUAAUGUCUGGACGGAGGGAGAGGGAAACAAAGAACAAAGGUGAGUAAGAUGGCGUACUUCCGGGUUCUUCAUCACCAACUUUCCCGCGCCUGGGAAAGGCACAGGUCAACUGCGCAGGCGCAACAUGACGUGCGACCGAAGAAACCGAAACCUACCUGGCUGCGCCCACCGCAUGGCCCUUGACCCGCCUGCAUCCCGCCUACCGCCCUCCCACUCCCAGGCCCAAGACAUAAAAGCCGCUCCCGGCAGGCGUGCAGCGGGAACUUCCUCGGCCCCUCCUCAUAUGCGGACCUAGGAACCUCGCCAGAGAACGCCAGAGCGACUUCCUAGGCCUCUGCUGCCGGAGACUGGUGAACCUCGCUUCCUCUUUCUUUACAUUGGCUACGUAAUAAAGUUUCCUUUUUAUCUUG